ensembl:snRNA U6 U6 spliceosomal RNA
UUUCUCUCUUCAGCAGCACCUGUACUAAAAUUAGAAUGAUACAGAGAAUAUUAGCAUGACCCUUGUGCAAGGAUGCCAAAUUCAUGAAACAUUCCAUAUUUUG